AUGGCCAUCAAAUGAAGACCGAAAAGUGACCGGUGGCUUAAAAACGUAUCAUAGAAUUGCGUUUUAUUAUACCAAUAGCAUUUUUAAAACUCAAUUUUUAUGUUGAUAUGAAUUAAGAUGUAUAUAAAAACAAUGCAACUUUUUAGGCUAACUUAUGAUAUUUUAUCAUAAAAAUUUACUUUCAUAGCUUAUAACAUUGAAUUCUAACGUUAUUAUCAGUUAUGCAAAAUCAAUAACUAAACGCAAAGAAUGAACAAUACUCGAGCUUACUGCUUCUCAACAAUAGAUGGCGUUAGUGGACCUAUAUUUUCCUAUGUUUUUCUAUAUUGUCUAGGGUUAAAUCGAUGUCAGUGUCGCUGUAAGUGACAACUGACAAGUUACGAAAUAAAAAUAACAAUACCUAAUUACCUAAUUAUCCAAAUAAAAGUGAUUAAAAGCUAGGUAUACAAAUAACAAAAUUCUUUCUGGCGCUCAACUAUUAGUAUCGACCAUUUUUUCGCUUGUCUCCAUUCCACUCGUCACUGAAGAAGUCUCUGGUAGACCCUAUUGGCAUGAGGUUUGCCUUGGCCAGCCAGCACGUCAGCAAGUAUAGGAGAUGAGGCCGAGGAUGAAAGCCGUGAACAUUAACCAGUGGAGCGUUUGCUAUGUGAAAUUGACAAGAACAAACAACCCAAGCACAAUAACACAAAGGAGGAGCAGCACCUUGAAAUCGAUAAAGGUCGAGUGCACCUGCUUGGAAGUGAAGAUUGCAGAACAGGCAAUGCAGAAAUUGCCAAAAUAUUAUCCUUAACCUUAAAACCCUACUUGGUGUAAUAAAACACCCUA